UACGUAGGGGGCGAGCGUUGUCCGGAAUCAUUGGGCGUAAAGAGCGUGUAGGCGGUUCGGUAAGUCUGCCGUGAAAACCUCGGGGCUCAACCCUGGGCGUGCGGUGGAAACUGUCGAGCUAGAGGAUGGUGAGAGGGGAGUGGAAUUCCCGGUGUAGCGGUGAAAUGCGCAGAUAUCGUAAGGAAGACCAGUGGCGAAGGCGGGUCUCUGGACAGUUCCUGACGCUGAGGCACGAAGGUCAGGGGAGCAAACGGG
rnacentral:rRNA from 1 species